UGUUGCUAUGAUACGCGCAAGAUCCACCAAUCGAAACGAUAUCUAGCAAUAAGGCGGAGACGAUCUCGAGAAAGAGCGUUCUCCAAUUAGAUAAUAAAACCCACGCCCGUUUCGUACUACCAUUUUAGGAUUGAUGGCACAGCUGCUAAAUGAGCGUGAUUUUGCAAGAGAUCCUGCUAUAAAAAAGGCUGACCGUAGAUUUGAUCACAGACAAGAAGACAAGUGAGGCCGCGUUAUUUCGCAAGCAAGAAUGACUUCCAAAACAACAAUCGUCCUGACUCUGCUAGUGCUGUUAGCAGUGGCAGAUCUAUGCGUAUCCUACAGCUGGGUUUCGAGUAGAGGGAAAAAAAGGAAUUUAUUGAUGCGAAAAUGGUCCGAGUUAUGCAAGCGGUCACCAGAACUGUGCGCCUUCUUGGACCCAGAAUCCCAAAAACGCCCGCCUGAAAACCAGAACAGAUUCUAAAAUAAUCAACUUAUUCGACGGGAAUCGAGCAGUAUUGGACAUAUGACUAUUUUGGUAAAAUAAGCUAGAAAUAAUGAACACUGUUAAAGUACAUAGAUAUUUUUUGUGUUAUUGAAACCAAUGCAAUGCUCUGAAAUGCGAUGAAAUCGGAAGAGCACAAGUAAAUAAAGUGUGCAAACGUUACUUUUUGUGGAGUUCUUACAAACGGAACAAAUACCAUGAGAUAAA